rnacentral:rRNA from 1 species
GAUGAACGCUGGCGGCGUGCCUAAUACAUGCAAGUCGAGCGAACAGACGAGGAGCUUGCUCCUCUGACGUUAGCGGCGGACGGGUGAGUAACACGUGGAUAACCUCCCUAUAAGACUGGGAUAACUUCGGGAAACCGGAGCUAAUACCGGAUAAUAUAUUGAACCGCAUGGUUCAAUAGUGAAAGACGGUUUUGCUGUCACUUCUAGAUGGAUCCGCGCCGCAUUAGCUAGUUGGUAAGGUAACGGCUUACCAAGGCGACGAUGCGUAGCCGACCUGAGAGGGUGAUCGGCCACACUGGAACUGAGACACGGUCCAGACUCCUACGGGAGGCAGCAGUAGCGAAUCUUCCGCAAUGGGCGAAAGCCUGACGGAGCAGCGCCGCGUGAGUGAUGAAGGUCCUCGGAUCGUAAAACUCUGUUAUUAGGGAAGAACAAAUGUGUAAGUAACUAUGCACGUCUUGACGGUACCGAAUCAGAAAGCCACGGCUAACUACGUG